AGAUGGAGGUGCCCCAAUUGACCUUAUGAGAGGUAAAUCUUUAUCAUUAUUUUUAUUGUAUAUGUAUAUAUUCAUGUGAAAAUUCACUACAUGUUAUGCUGAGUAAACUGUAUAUAUGUGUUUCUAAAAGAUAGACUGUGAUGUUGAUGAGGAAAGGUCAAGUCACAAAAGUUGUAGAGGGUGUACAGGAGGUUAAAAACGCAUAAUGCACCUCUUGUGCCUACUUUUGUUGCAGCAAGAGUCGCUUUAAGGACUAUGAGUGGCACUUGGAUUUAUUAUAUGCCGAAUGCAUAGCCCAAAUCUCCAAUCAUCAUUCUAGUUUAAUGAUUAAACAGAUUGAAAGUUUCAUCUUUUUGACUUUAUGUUGACUCUACAUAAAAUCUAGACCGCAUGAUCAUGUUUUUUUUAUUAACGGCCUGAGCUUGAUCACUUCUUUCAAUUAGAAUCUGGAUGCACUUGCCAUCUUUCACCCCCAGUACACAAAUCCCUACAGUGUUGGCAAUAGCAUCUGCAGAGGCUCUGAGCAUGGAGGUGGUGGACGAUAAGACUAUCUAACUAGUCAUCCUUUGUUCAGGUUUUAAGGUGCCCAUGCAUUGGAAGCUCUUUUCAAAAGUGCUUGUUGCUAUAUGACAGGUGAUGAUUAGACUUCAAAAUUUGUGUCUAGGAAUUGUGUUUUAGAGAAGAGAAAAAAAACUCUUUGGAAUUAAUGAGAGAAGAACUAGAAGACAAUAGAGGAUACAUAUAUAUAUGUAUAUAUGUAUAUUC
rnacentral:lncRNA from 1 species